GACGAACGCUGGCGGCGUGCCUAAUACAUGCAAGUAGAACGCACAGUUUAUACCUUAGCUUGCUACACCAUAGACUGUGAGUUGCGAACGGGUGAGUAACGCGUAGGUAACCUGCCUGGUAGCGGGGGAUAACUAUUGGAAACGAUAGCUAAUACCGCAUAAUAUUAAUUAUUGCAUGAUAAUUGAUUGAAAGAUGCAACUGCAUCACUACCAGAUGGACCUGCGUUGUAUUAGCUAGUAGGCGAGGUAACGGCUCACCUAGGCGACGAUACAUAGCCGACCUGAGAGGGUGAUCGGCCACACUGGGACUGAGACACGGCCCAGACUCCUACGGGAGGCAGCAGUAGGGAAUCUUCGGCAAUGGACGAAAGUCUGACCGAGCAACGCCGCGUGAGUGAAGAAGGUUUUCGGAUCGGAAAGCUCUGUUGUAAGAGAAGAACGGGUGUGAGAGUGGAAAGUUCACACUGUGACGGUAUCUUACCAGAAAGGGACGGCUAACUACGUG
rnacentral:rRNA from 1 species